rnacentral:lncRNA from 1 species
AAAUACUGUAUCACUAAAUCAUUUUUCUUAAAACAUGAAUACAUAUGAGCCGUCAAGGUCUCUGCCAUACUGAAUAAAAUGAACCUCUGUCUACAAAGCCUCUAAGAUUAUUUGACAUCAAAUGAGACAGUGUAUCGGCCUACCCAUAAGUAUUUAGCAAAACUCUAACACGAUAACUCAUAGUCUCGGCUGUACUCCAAAUGAGGUAGAGUCUUACCGAUCCUUUGCUGAAUGUCAAUCUCGUCUACUAUGAGAGCUCAUCAAACUGAUUAUCUACACCUGCAGGCAUGAAUGCAGCGUCCCUAACAAAAGGACGUUAAUACGAAUAAUGUACUGAGUAUGUAAGGUAGAACUGAAACAUAACCAUAAUUCAACAUUAAUUAAAGACAUAUAAGAAUCAACCUGAAUCUCUGAAGUGCCACCGUAUAUGCGUACUCAUUAUACUUAUAUAUAUAUAUAUAUAUAUAAUGCUUCUCUUUGAGACUAUUAUAAGUAUCGUAUGAUGCAUGACUGCCCAACUGAUCAGUGGUAACUGCCCGACCGACCGUAGCUCGGUGGUAAAAGCAUAACUGCCCAACCGGUGGUAACUGUCCGACCGGCCGUAGCUAGGUGGUAGAUGUGUAACUGCCCAACCGGUCGUAGUACGGUGGUAAAUAUGUAACUGCCCAACCGGCCGUAGCACGGUGGUAAAUGUAUGACUGCCAUACUUCGUUAGGAAAUACAGUUGUAAUUUAGGCUACUGACUAUAAAAGGAACCAAAUGAAACGAAAACCAUUUUUUAGUGGAAGCCUUCUGCUCGGAGUAAUAUCCAUGAAAUGAAAAUUAUAUCUAUGGAAACACUCCAAAAAUGAAGCACCAAAUCUGUGUAAUUAGUACACAACCAAACUGAGCUACAAUUUCCUCUCACCCACUUAGUUAAGUAAGCUGCAAAUAAGUAUGAAUAUGGCCCGAGCAUCUUAAUAUCUUAUUACAUCAAAUCUGUCUCCGUCCUUUUCGUGCUUUCUCUAUAUCAUUAAAGGUAUUAAAAUUAAGGAUUAAAUUGGAACAAGAUCGUUCCCAGAACACGUAGAGGGGCUAGAAUGUGAUCUUAACAAAUCUCAGAAAAGUCAUGAACACAGGAUGCCAACUAUUACAUGUAAUUAAUAUCCUUAAAUUGAUAUGCAUGAUCUUUGGGGAAUGAAUAACAUAGACAUCCUUAACUUCUAAGAGUAGAACCACUUAUGGAAUAUCAUUACAUUUACGUCUCGUUACUGGGAUCAUGCCAAAAGAAAGAAGGAAUAACCUUAACAUACCUGAGUCGAUUCUCUUGAGAAAGAUUACACCGUACUCCCUUAAUAUUGUAAAAUCUCACGUUAAUUAAGGUGCUCUGAAAUCUCGGGUUUUUGAAGUGUUGAAGACACUAUCAUAUUUGUAUACAUGGGUUGGAUGAAGAAGGAGAAGAGCGCAAAGUAGUGUCAACUAUGCGUUCAAAAUAUUACUGCUCUUGCCAAACAUAAGUAGAUUAUAACUACUGUAUAGAAUAAAGGCACAUCUGAAAGGAAGAAAAGACACAUGACCUCAUCAAAAGCUUAAAGAAAGGCCUCAAAUAGCUUACCUUUUGAAUAAGGCAAAGCUCCAAGAAAAAAUUACUGUGUGAUGCUUUAUGGUCCAGCACAAAAACUACACUUCCAAGAAUAUUGAUUAGAAAAUAAUAAUGUUUGUAGGAAUCGGUGGUAAGAAAUUGUGUUGAAAAUUUAUAAGGAUUGCUAAGAUUGUAAUGUCUUGAGAAGGAAAUUUGUUGAAACUUAUCAGAAUGGCUAACGUCCCCCACUUUUCAUUGUAGUGUCUUUGAUAUGGAAAUUA